GUGGACAGUGCUGUACAUUUCAUUAACAGCUAGGAUUAUUUGCCAGUUUUAUGGCCAUUGACCUUCACUGAUGUUAAUAAAAUUAGUAAUAAGAAAAGGUUGUAGGGACUUUAUUUUACUUUAUAAACAUUUAACAAUUCAUAAAAACUAUGUUGCAAAAUCAGAAAUUAGUGCAAUGUUUUUAUCAAAAAAAAAUUGCAACAUCAAACAUU
rnacentral:lncRNA from 1 species